rnacentral:rRNA from 1 species
UCGCCUGAGGAUGAGCUCGCGUCUGAUUAGCUAGUUGGUGAGGUAAUGGCUCACCAAGGCUUCGAUCAGUAGCUGGUCUGAGAGGAUGAUCAGCCACACUGGGACUGAGACACGGCCCAGACCCCUACGGGAGGCAGCAGUGGGGAAUUUUCCGCAAUGGGCGAAAGCCUGACGGAGCAACGCCGCGUGAGGGACGAAGGCCUCUAGGCUGUAAACCUCUUUUCUCAAGGAAGAAGAUAUGACGGUACUUGAGGAAUAAGCCACGGAUAAUUCCG